rnacentral:lncRNA from 1 species
AUCAGAAGGUACCUCCAAAAAGCCAAAGAUCACCAUGGUCGGUCGAAAAGAAGCUUUAGCUGAGCGGGCCUCAGCAGUUGAGGCCACCAUUGCAAUGGCGACCCCCGCCCUCUGGGCCCUUCCUUGUGAGCCACAGCCCUUGGCCCUGCUGCUCAGGUACAAGCAUUUUAGCCAUCUAUGGCUCAUGCUCCAACCCCUCCUGCAUCCCUACAUAAAGAUGGGGUUCAACCUUCUCUAGUAGCUGGCCCAAGCAGACUGCCUCCCCCAGA